rnacentral:rRNA from 1 species
CCUACGGGUGGCAGCAGUGGGGAAUAUUGGACAAUGGGGGCAACCCUGAUCCAGCCAUGCCGCGUGUGUGAAGAAGGCCCUCGGGUUGUAAAGCACUUUCAGUGAGGAAGAACGCCUGGUGGUUAAUACCCAUCAGGAAAGACAUCACUCACAGAAGAAGCACCGGCUAACUCCGUGCCAGUAGCCGCGGUAAUACGGAGGGUGCGAGCGUUAAUCGGAAUUACUGGGCGUAAAGCGCGCGUAGGUGGCUUGAUAAGCCGGUUGUGAAAGCCCCGGGCUCAACCUGGGAACGGCAUCCGGAACUGUCAAGCUAGAGUGCAGGAGAGGAAGGUAGAAUUCCCGGUGUAGCGGUGAAAUGCGUAGAGAUCGGGAGGAAUACCAGUGGCGAAGGCGGCCUUCUGGACUGACACUGACACUGAGGUGCGAAAGCGUGGGUAGCAAACAGGAUUAGAUACCCUUGUAGUC